UCCCUGGCGGUCCAGUGGUUAGGACUCUGCACUGUAACUGCCGAGGGCCUGGGUUCAAUCCCUGGUCAGGGAA
rnacentral:tRNA from 1 species